rnacentral:rRNA from 1 species
UACGGAGAGUGCAAACGUUGUUCGGAUUCACUGGGCGUAAAGGGCACGUAGGCGGCUCGGCAAAUCGGUCGUGGAAUCUCGACGCUUACCGUCGAAACGGCGGCCGAAAAUACCGGGCUCGAGGGCGUGAGGGGUCACUGGAACUCCUGGUGAAGCGGUGAAAUGCGUAGAUAUCAGGAAGAACGCCGGAGGCGAAAGCGAGUGACUGGCGCGUUCCUGACGCUGAGGUGCGAAAGCUAGGGGAGCAAACGGG